UGGGGAAUAUUGCACAAUGGGCGCAAGCCUGAUGCAGCCAUGCCGCGUGUAUGAAGAAGGCCUUCGGGUUGUAAAGUACUUUCAGUCGGGAGGAAGGUGGUAAGGUUAAUAACCUUGGCAAUUGACGUUACCGACAGAAGAAGCACCGGCUAACUCCGUGCCAGCAGCCGCGGUAAUACGGAGGGUGCAAGCGUUAAUCGGAAUUACUGGGCGUAAAGCGCACGCCGGCGGUUGAUUGAGUCAGAUGUGAAAUCACCGGGCUUAACCCGGGAAUUGCAUCUGAUACUGGUGAGCUAGAGUAGUGUAGAGGGGGGUAGAAUUCCAUGUGUAGCGGUGAAAUGCGUAGAGAUGUGGGGGAAUACCGGUGGCGAAGGAGGCCCCCUGGACAAAGACUGACGCUCAGGUGCGAAAGCGUGGAGAGCAAACAGG
rnacentral:rRNA from 1 species